UAAGCACAAGGCUUUAACAUGAAGGUCUUGUUCGGAAUAUUAGCUGUCCUGGCUGUGGCUCUUUUAGGUGCCGAAGCCAGCACUCCAAGAAGGAUUGGUGAACCUGAAAAUGAUAUAUUUAAAUCAAUGUUUGGGAACUAGAACUAUUCCUCUCAAAUAAAAAUUCUUAAGCAAGAAA